AGCAAAAGAAUGACAAAUCAGAUUUUUCCUCCUAAUUUUCAGCCUUUUCUUCUUGAAAAAAAUUCAAAUCCAACUAAAAAUGCUAAAAUUUAGGUGGAAAAAUCCGAUUUGUCAUUCUUCUAAU
rfam:Gossypium raimondii Chr11_contig_931, whole genome shotgun sequence.